rnacentral:rRNA from 1 species
AGAGAGAGACAUGCGCGCAUAUCAAUAAGCGGAGGAAAAGAAACUAACAUAGGAUUCCCUCAGUAACGGCGAGUGAAGCGGGAAGAGCUCAAAUUUGAAAUCUUCAAGGUUCUACCUUGACGAAUUGUAGUUUAUAGAAGUGUUUUCUGUUAGUGGAGUUUGGUAAAAGUUCUUUGGAAUAGGACAUCAUAGAGGGUGAGAAUCCCGUAUUUGACCAUUAUUUCCAACUUUGUGGAUACACUUUCAAAGAGUCGGAUUGUUUGGGAAUGCAGUCCAAAAUGGGUGGUAAAUUUCAUCUAAAGCUAAAUAUUGGCGAGAGACCGAUAGCGAACAAGUACCGUGAGGGAAAGAUGAAAAGAACUUUGAAAAGAGAGUUAAACAGUACGUGAAAUUGUCAAAAGGGAAGCGUUUGACACCAGUGUUGUUUUCUCGAAAAUCAAUUAAAAAUGGUGGAUUUUGUGUUGUAUUGACUUUAUCAGCUUUCUGCACUUUUUUCCUGUCUUUUUUAAUGCACUUUUCGUUUAACAAGUCAACAUCAAUUUCUUUUGUUGUAAAAGGGUCAUUGGAAGGUGGCUUUCUUUUCGGAGAAAGUGUUUAUAGCCUUUGGCCUCUGCAAUCGGAGAGAUUGAGGUCUGCAGCGUAGAUCCUUCGGGGUUAGAUACAUUUGUGCUAAGUUGAUAGCCUUUCAUAGACAACUCGUUGACUAUGAUCAGUCAUGUAGCUUACUCGCUUAUGUCAUUUUACCUACGCUUAGGAUGUUGACAGCAGUAUAGACUGU